CAGUGGGCCACUUUCUUGGAUUUGGAAGGGCAAAUCACCGAUUCAAAGGCUUUGAGAAAGAGAAUAUUUUAUGGAGGCGUUGAGCGUGGCCUGCGAGAUGAGGUCUGGAAAUUUUUGUUGGGUUACCAUGAAUAUGAUUCAACAUAUGCUGAAAGGGAAUAUAUCGCCUCAACUAAGAAGUCAGAGUAUGAGACCAUAAAGCACCAGUGGCAGGUUCAUUCAUCAUGGAUUUGUUCUGAAUUGCAUCACUUAUGUGCAUUGAAAUGGAUCUCCCUACUAAACAUUAGAGAUUUUGUGGAAUCUUCACCUUGUAAUUCCUUUCUCUUCUAACGAGCCCCUCAAAAUGAUUCCUCUUCUAUAUCUCAUUCAGUUUUCCCAAUCUGAAUGUUGAAUUGUGGUAGUGGUGGUUCAGAAUUUAAAUUUUCUAGUUUUAAUCUCUCUUUUUAGAGG